CCUACGGGAGGCAGCAGUGAGGAAUAUUGGUCAAUGGGCGGAAGCCUGAACCAGCCAAGUAGCGUGCAGGAUGACGGCCCUACGGGUUGUAAACUGCUUUUAUACGGGAAUAACGCGCCUUACGUGUAGGGCUUUGCAUGUACCGUAUGAAUAAGGACCGGCUAACUCCGUGCCAGCAGCCGCGGUAAUACGGAGGAUGCGAGCGUUAUCGGGAUUUAUUGGGUUUAAAGGGUGCUUAGGCGGAAUAUCAAGUUAGCGGUAAAAAUUCGGGGCGCACCCCCGGCGUGCCGUUGAAACUGAUGUUCUUGAGUGGGCGAGAAGUAUGCGGAAUGCGUGGUGUAGCGGUGAAAUGCAUAGAUAUCACGCAGAACUCCGAUUGCGAAGGCAGCAUACCGGCGCCCAACUGACGCUGAAGCACGAAAGCGUGGGUAUCGAACAGGAUUAGAUACCCCUGUAGUC
rnacentral:rRNA from 1 species